AUUGAACACUGGCGGCAUGCCUUACACAUGCAAGUCGAACGGUAACAGGUCUUCGGAUGCUGACGAAUGGCGAACGGGUGAGUAAUACAUCGGAACGUGCCUAGUAGUGGGGGAUAACUACUCGAAAGAGUGGCUAAUACCGCAUGAGAUCUACGGAUGAAAGCAGGGGAUCGCAAGACCUUGUGCUACUAGAGCGGCCGAUGGCAGAUUAGGUAGUUGGUGGGAUAAAAGCUUACCAAGCCGACGAUCUGUAGCUGGUCUGAGAGGACGAUCAGCCACACUGGGACUGAGACACGGCCCAGACUCCUACGGGAGGCAGCAGUGGGGAAUUUUGGACAAUGGGCGCAAGCCUGAUCCAGCAAUGCCGCGUGCAGGAUGAAGGCCUUCGGGUUGUAAACUGCUUUUGUACGGAACGAAAAGCCCUGGGUUAAUACCCUGGGGUCAUGACGGUACCGUAAGAAUAAGCACCGGCUAACUACGUGCCAGCCGCCGCCGUAAAAC
rnacentral:rRNA from 1 species